CUCGAGAAUCCCACAGACGGGGGAGCCUGGCAGGCUACAGUCCAUGAGGUGUGCCCCUGACUUGACUGCAUUAAUAACCCACUCCUCCCGCCGGUUCCAUAAACACAGGGGCGGCAGCCAGGGCAGGAACGAGCACGUCAGGAACUUCGGCUGCUCCGAUUUGUUGAAUAAACAGAGUGGAAGGUGUUGCAUAGAUGAAUCAACACCUACGUCUGAAGCCGCCCCCGCUGCUGUCGAUUUGCAUAAGUGGGCGAGAGAGACCCUCCCAACGGUGACCUGCAGCCUCGUUGUACGGGGACCAUGGGCUGAGUGCCAGCCGUGUUCCUGGAGGGGCCAAGUGUCCGGCCAGCAUUAUCUGCCCAGUGAGUCUUCAUUCCAAACCUCUGGCCACCAGAUGUGAAGAACUGACUCAUUGGAAAAGACCCUGAUGCUGGGAAAGAUUGAAGGUAGGAGGAGAAGGGGACGACAGAGGAUGAGAUGGUUGGAUGGCAUCACCAACGUGAUGGACGUGAGUUUGAGCAAACCUGGGAGUGAGUGAUGGACAGGGAGG
rnacentral:lncRNA from 1 species